AAGAGCCCUGGAAUAUCUUCAUCUCAAUAGGAAAUCACAAAGCAUUGUCCCACAUGGCAACCUGAAAUCAACCAAUGUUCUUCUUGACGAGAACGAUAUGGUUCUUGUUUCAGACUAUGGCCUCACUUCACUACUAGCAGUUCCCGUUGCUGCUAACCGUCUGGUUUCUUACAAAUCGCCGGAAUACCAGGCUUCGAAAAAGCUUUAUAAGAAGUCUGAUGUUUGGAGUUAUGGCUGUCUUAUAUUAGAACUCCUGACAGGAAGAGUACAGGCUCACUCAGCUCCACCAGGAACCAAUGGAGUCGAUCUUUCCAGUUGGGUUCAUCGAGCUGUGAGGGAAGAGUGGACAGCUGAGAUAUUUGAUAUUGAGAUAUCUGUGCAAAGAAGUUCAACUCCUGGAAUGCUGAAACUACUGCAAAUCGCUAUGGGUUGCUGCGAUAAAUCCCCAGAGAAGCGUCCUGAAAUGACAGAAGUGGUAAGGGAGGUUGAAAGUAUAAAGCUUGUUGAAUCAGAAGAUGAAGAAGACUUGUCAAUGGAUCACUCUUUAACAGAUGAAUCUCUGUCUACAAGUGCCUCAGGGAUAAUGGGUGAUGAAAGAUGAGAUAAUUGGAUUCUGAAACAUUGCACAAUAACCAUAUUUGUUCUUUUCAUUGUGAAAAAUUAAUAAAAGAUGUAAUGUAGGUGAAUUGGUGAUGGAGAGCUCUUAGCCAACUUGAACUUUGGAAUAGGCUGGAUGAGACAUUUCUUUCCAUAAGUUGUGUAUUUCCAUG
rnacentral:misc_RNA from 1 species